rnacentral:rRNA from 1 species
GUACACUCCUGCGGGAGGCAGCAGUGGGGAAUAUUGAACAAUGGGCGCAAGCCUGAUCCAGCCAUGCCGCGUGAGUGAUGAAGGCCCUAGGGUUGUAAAGCUCUUUCACCGGUGAAGAUAAUGACGGUAACCGGAGAAGAAGCCCCGGCUAACUUCGUGCCAGCAGCCGCGGUAAUACGAAGGGGGCUAGCGUUGUUCGGAUUUACUGGGCGUAAAGCGCACGUAGGCGGACUAUUAAGUCAGGGGUGAAAUCCCGGGGCUCAACCCCGGAACUGCCUUUGAUACUGGUAGUCUUGAGUUCGAGAGAGGUGAGUGGAAUUCCGAGUGUAGAGGUGAAAUUCGUAGAUAUUCGGAGGAACACCAGUGGCGAAGGCGGCUCACUGGCUCGAUACUGACGCUGAGGUGCGAAAGCGUGGGGAGCAAACAGGAUUAGAUACCCCAGUAGUCCC